UACGUAGGUGGCGAGCGUUGUCCGGAAUUACUGGGCGUAAAGCGCACGUAGGUGGCGACGUAAGUCGGGUGUGAAAGCCCCGGGCUCAACCUGGGAAUUGCAUUCGAGACUGCAUUGCUGGAGUACGGAAGAGGAAGGCGGAAUUCCCGGUGUAGCGGUGAAAUGCGUAGAUAUCGGGAGGAACAUCAGUGGCGAAGGCGGCCUUCUGGUCCAGUACUGACACUCAAGUGCGAAAGCGUGGGGAGCAAACAGG
rnacentral:rRNA from 1 species